rnacentral:rRNA from 1 species
UGGGGAAUUUUGGACAAUGGGCGAAAGCCUGAUCCAGCAAUGCCGCGUGUGUGAAGAAGGCCUUCGGGUUGUAAAGCACUUUUGUCCGGAAAGAAAUCCUUGGCUCUAAUACAGUCGGGGGAUGACGGUACCGGAAGAAUAAGCACCGGCUAACUACGUGCCAGCAGCCGCGGUAAUACGUAGGGUGCAAGCGUUAAUCGGAGUUACUGGGCGUAAAGCGUGCGCAGGCGGUUUGCUAAGACCGAUGUGAAAUCCCCGGGCUCAACCUGGGAACUGCAUUGGUGACUGGCAGGCUAGAGUAUGGCAGAGGGGGGUAGAAUUCCACGUGUAGCAGUGAAAUGCGUAGAGAUGUGGAGGAAUACCGAUGGCGAAGGCAGCCCCCUGGGCCAAUACUGACGCUCAUGCACGAAAGCGUGGGGAGCAAACAGGAUUAGAUACCCUGGUAGUCCACGCCCUAAACGAUGUCAACUAGUUGUUGGGGAUUCAUUUCCUUAGUAACGUAGCUAACGCGUGAAGUUGACCGCCU